rnacentral:rRNA from 1 species
AGUCGAACGGCAGCACGGGAGCAAUCCUGGUGGCGAGUGGCGAACGGGUGAGUAAUAUAUCGGAACGUGCCCAGUCGUGGGGGAUAACGCAGCGAAAGCUGUGCUAAUACCGCAUACGAUCUCAGGAUGAAAGCAGGGGACCGCAAGGCCUUGCGCUCACGGAGCGGCCGAUGGCAGAUUAGGUAGUUGGUGGGAUAAAAGCUUACCAAGCCGACGAUCUGUAGCUGGUCUGAGAGGACGACCAGCCACACUGGGACUGAGACACGGCCCAGACUCCUACGGGAGGCAGCAGUGGGGAAUUUUGGACAAUGGGCGCAAGCCUGAUCCAGCCAUGCCGCGUGCAGGAUGAAGGCCUUCGGGUUGUAAACUGCUUUUGUACGGAACGAAAAGACUCCUUCUAAUAAAGGGGGUCCAUGACGGUACCGUAAGAAUAAGCACCGGCUAACUACGUGCCAGCAGCCGCGGUAAU